rnacentral:rRNA from 1 species
AGUGAACGCUGGCGGUAGGCCUAACACAUGCAAGUCGAACGGCAGCACAGUAAGAGCUUGCUCUUACGGGUGGCGAGUGGCGGACGGGUGAGGAAUACAUCGGAAUCUACUUUUUCGUGGGGGAUAACGUAGGGAAACUUACGCUAAUACCGCAUACGACCUACGGGUGAAAGCAGGGGAUCUUCGGACCUUGCGCGAUUGAAUGAGCCGAUGUCGGAUUAGCUAGUUGGCGGGGUAAAGGCCCACCAAGGCGACGAUCCGUAGCUGGUCUGAGAGGAUGAUAAGCCACACUGGAACUGAGACACGGUCCAGACUCCUACGGGAGGCAGCAGUGGGGAAUAUUGGACAAUAGGCGCAAGCCUGAUCCAGCCAUACCGCGUGGGUGAAGAAGGCCUUCGGGUUGUAAAGCCCUUUUGUUGGGAAAGAAAAGCAGCAGGUUAAUACCCCGCUGUUCUGACGGUACCCAAAGAAUAAGCACCGGCUAACUUCGUG